ACCAAAUGCAGGAAACGCAUUUAUAGACAAACAAGCAAACCCGAUGUCUGUCAACUAUGCACACUACAACAGGACUCAGAGCUCCACCAGCUGAAAAUAACAGGACUAAACCAGAGCGGAACUUUCCCAAGAAGACGGCUCCCUGUGCGCCACUGCCCAGCCACUGCAGCUCAGAAAUCUCCUCGAACGGAACCUCCCACAUAUCUGGAAACAAUGAACAUUAGCUGACCAGCCACCCCGACCCAACCCAGUUCUGUCUGACCUCAACUCAUAUCCAGUAGCCUGUGAGUCCAGUCUCUUCAGGCAGUCCUGCAGCAAGACUGGGCGAAGACAGCCAAACAACCCCUCUAAGAAGCUCCCCGACGCAGGCCCUGCUCUCUGGAAGUGUAGUUUGAUGUCAU